rnacentral:rRNA from 1 species
AGGGCUUGACAUCACCUCGACAGCCUGGGAAACCAGGUCUUCUCCCUUUACGGGAGACGGGGUGACAGGUGGUGCAUGGUUGUCGUCAGCUCGUGUCGUGAGAUGUUGGGUUAAGUCCCGCAACGAGCGCAACCCUUAUCCUUAGUUGCCAGCACGUAAUGGUGGGCACUCUAAGGAGACUGCCGUCGAUGAGACGGAGGAAGGUGGGGAUGACGUCAAAUCAUCAUGCCCCUUACGCUCUGGGCUACACACGUGCUACAAUGGCCGGUACAAAGGGUUGCAAUCCCGCGAGGGGGAGCCAAUCCCAAAAAACCGGUCCCAGUUCGGAUUGUAGGCUGCAACUCGCCUACAUGAAGUCGGAAUCGCUAGUAAUCGUGGGUCAGCUACACCACGGUGAAUACGUUCCCGGGCCU